AUUGAACGCCGGCGGCAGGCCUAACACAUGCAAGUCGAGCGGAUGAGUGGAGCUUGCUCCAUGAUUCAGCGGCGGACGGGUGAGUAAUGCCUAGGAAUCUGCCUGGUAGUGGNGGACAACGUUUCGAAAGGAACGCUAAUACCGCAUACGUCCUACGGGAGAAAGUGGGGGAUCUUCGGACCUCACGCUAUCAGAUGAGCCUAGGUCGGAUUAGCUAGUUGGUGAGGUAAAGGCUCACCAAGGCGACGAUCCGUAACUGGUCUGAGAGGAUCAGUCACACUGGAACUGAGACACGGUCCAGACUCCUACGGGAGGCAGCAGUGUGGAAUAUUGGACAAUGGGCGAAAGCCUGAUCCAUCCAUGCCGCGUGUGUGAAGAAGGUCUUCGGAUUGUAAAGCACUUUAAGUUGGGAGGAAGGGCAGUAAGUUAAUACCUUGCUGUUUUGACGUUACCGACAGAAUAAGCACCGGCUAACUUCGUG
rnacentral:rRNA from 1 species